rnacentral:rRNA from 3 species
GGGUUGUGAGGUUAAGCGACUAAGCGUACACGGUGGAUGCCCUGGCAGUCAGAGGCGAUGAAGGACGUGCUAAUCUGCGAUAAGCGUCGGUAAGGUGAUAUGAACCGUUAUAACCGGCGAUUUCCGAAUGGGGAAACCCAGUGUGUUUCGACACACUAUCAUUAACUGAAUCCAUAGGUUAAUGAGGCGAACCGGGGGAACUGAAACAUCUAAGUACCCCGAGGAAAAGAAAUCAACCGAGAUUCCCCCAGUAGCGGCGAGCGAACGGGGAGCAGCCCAGAGCCUGAAUCAGUAUGUGUGUUAGUGGAAGCGUCUGGAAAGGCGCGCGAUACAGGGUGACAGCCCCGUACACAAAAAUGCACAUGCUGUGAGCUCGAUGAGUAGGGCGGGACACGUGGUAUCCUGUCUGAAUAUGGGGGGACCAUCCUCCAAGGCUAAAUACUCCUGACUGACCGAUAGUGAACCAGUACCGUGAGGGAAAGGCGAAAAGAACCCCGGCGAGGGGAGUGAAAAAGAACCUGAAACCGUGUACGUACAAGCAGUGGGAGCACGCUUAGGCGUGUGACUGCGUACCUUUUGUAUAAUGGGUCAGCGACUUAUAUUCUGUAGCAAGGUUAACCGAAUAGGGGAGCCGAAGGGAAACCGAGUCUUAACUGGGCGUUAAGUUGCAGGGUAUAGACCCGAAACCCGGUGAUCUAGCCAUGGGCAGGUUGAAGGUUGGGUAACACUAACUGGAGGACCGAACCGACUAAUGUUGAAAAAUUAGCGGAUGACUUGUGGCUGGGGGUGAAAGGCCAAUCAAACCGGGAGAUAGCUGGUUCUCCCCGAAAGCUAUUUAGGUAGCGCCUCGUGAAUUCAUCUCCGGGGGUAGAGCACUGUUUCGGCAAGGGGGUCAUCCCGACUUACCAACCCGAUGCAAACUGCGAAUACCGGAGAAUGUUAUCACGGGAGACACACGGCGGGUGCUAACGUCCGUCGUGAAGAGGGAAACAACCCAGACCGCCAGCUAAGGUCCCAAAGUCAUGGUUAAGUGGGAAACGAUGUGGGAAGGCCCAGACAGCCAGGAUGUUGGCUUAGAAGCAGCCAUCAUUUAAAGAAAGCGUAAUAGCUCACUGGUCGAGUCGGCCUGCGCGGAAGAUGUAACGGGGCUAAACCAUGCACCGAAGCUGCGGCAGCGACGCUUAUGCGUUGUUGGGUAGGGGAGCGUUCUGUAAGCCUGUGAAGGUGUACUGUGAGGUAUGCUGGAGGUAUCAGAAGUGCGAAUGCUGACAUAAGUAACGAUAAAGCGGGUGAAAAGCCCGCUCGCCGGAAGACCAAGGGUUCCUGUCCAACGUUAAUCGGGGCAGGGUGAGUCGACCCCUAAGGCGAGGCCGAAAGGCGUAGUCGAUGGGAAACAGGUUAAUAUUCCUGUACUUGGUGUUACUGCGAAGGGGGGACGGAGAAGGCUAUGUUGGCCGGGCGACGGUUGUCCCGGUUUAAGCGUGUAGGCUGGUUUUCCAGGCAAAUCCGGAAAAUCAAGGCUGAGGCGUGAUGACGAGGCACUACGGUGCUGAAGCAACAAAUGCCCUGCUUCCAGGAAAAGCCUCUAAGCAUCAGGUAACAUCAAAUCGUACCCCAAACCGACACAGGUGGUCAGGUAGAGAAUACCAAGGCGCUUGAGAGAACUCGGGUGAAGGAACUAGGCAAAAUGGUGCCGUAACUUCGGGAGAAGGCACGCUGAUAUGUAGGUGAAGCGACUUGCUCGUGGAGCUGAAAUCAGUCGAAGAUACCAGCUGGCUGCAACUGUUUAUUAAAAACACAGCACUGUGCAAACACGAAAGUGGACGUAUACGGUGUGACGCCUGCCCGGUGCCGGAAGGUUAAUUGAUGGGGUCAGCGCAAGCGAAGCUCUUGAUCGAAGCCCCGGUAAACGGCGGCCGUAACUAUAACGGUCCUAAGGUAGCGAAAUUCCUUGUCGGGUAAGUUCCGACCUGCACGAAUGGCGUAAUGAUGGCCAGGCUGUCUCCACCCGAGACUCAGUGAAAUUGAACUCGCUGUGAAGAUGCAGUGUACCCGCGGCAAGACGGAAAGACCCCGUGAACCUUUACUAUAGCUUGACACUGAACAUUGAGCCUUGAUGUGUAGGAUAGGUGGGAGGCUUUGAAGUGUGGACGCCAGUCUGCAUGGAGCCGACCUUGAAAUACCACCCUUUAAUGUUUGAUGUUCUAACGUGGACCCGUAAUCCGGGUUGCGGACAGUGUCUGGUGGGUAGUUUGACUGGGGCGGUCUCCUCCUAAAGAGUAACGGAGGAGCACGAAGGUUGGCUAAUCCUGGUCGGACAUCAGGAGGUUAGUGCAAUGGCAUAAGCCAGCUUGACUGCGAGCGUGACGGCGCGAGCAGGUGCGAAAGCAGGUCAUAGUGAUCCGGUGGUUCUGAAUGGAAGGGCCAUCGCUCAACGGAUAAAAGGUACUCCGGGGAUAACAGGCUGAUACCGCCCAAGAGUUCAUAUCGACGGCGGUGUUUGGCACCUCGAUGUCGGCUCAUCACAUCCUGGGGCUGAAGUAGGUCCCAAGGGUAUGGCUGUUCGCCAUUUAAAGUGGUACGCGAGCUGGGUUUAGAACGUCGUGAGACAGUUCGGUCCCUAUCUGCCGUGGGCGCUGGAGAACUGAGGGGGGCUGCUCCUAGUACGAGAGGACCGGAGUGGACGCAUCACUGGUGUUCGGGUUGUCAUGCCAAUGGCACUGCCCGGUAGCUAAAUGCGGAAGAGAUAAGUGCUGAAAGCAUCUAAGCACGAAACUUGCCCCGAGAUGAGUUCUCCCUGACUCCUUGAGAGUCCUGAAGGAACGUUGAAGACGACGACGUUGAUAGGCCGGGUGUGUAAGCGCAGCGAUGCGUUGAGCUAACCGGUACUAAUGAACCGUGAGGCUUAACCUUACAACGCCGAAGCUGUU